AGAGACCGGCGCACGGGUGCGUAACGCGUAUGCAAUCUACCUUUCACAGAGGGAUAGCCCAGAGAAAUUUGGAUUAAUACCUCAUAGUAUAGUACAACCGCAUGGUUGAACUAUUAAAGUUACAACGGUGAAAGAUGAGCAUGCGUCCCAUUAGCUAGUUGGUAAGGUAACGGCUUACCAAGGCUACGAUGGGUAGGGGUCCUGAGAGGGAGAUCCCCCACACUGGUACUGAGACACGGACCAGACUCCUACGGGAGGCAGCAGUGAGGAAUAUUGGACAAUGGGCGCAAGCCUGAUCCAGCCAUGCCGCGUGCAGGAUGACGGUCCUAUGGAUUGUAAACUGCUUUUGCACAGGAAGAAACAACAUUACGUGUAAUGUCUUGACGGUACUGUGAGAAUAAGGAUCGGCUAACUCCGUGCCAGCAGCCGCGGUAAUACGGAGGAUCCAAGCGUUAUCCGGAAUCAUUGGGUUUAAAGGGUCCGUAGGCGGUUUAGUAAGUCAGUGGUGAAAGCCCAUCGCUCAACGGUGGAACGGCCAUUGAUACUGCUAGACUUGAAUUAUUAGGAAGUAACUAGAAUAUGUAGUGUAGCGGUGAAAUGCUUAGAGAUUACAUGGAAUACCAAUUGCGAAGGCAGGUUACUACUAAUGGAUUGACGCUGAUGGACGAAAGCGUGGGUAGCGAACAGGAUUAGAUACCCUGGUAGUCCACGCCGUAAACGAUGGAUACUAGCUGUUGGGCGCAAGUUCAGUGGCUA
rnacentral:rRNA from 1 species